rnacentral:rRNA from 1 species
GACGAACGCUGGCGGCGUGCUUAACACAUGCAAGUCGAACGGUGAAGCGCCUUCCUUUUUGGUGGGUGUGGAUGAGUGGCGAACGGGUGAGUAACACGUGAGUAACCUGCCCCCUUCUUCUGGAUAACCGCAUGAAAGUGUGGCUAAUACGGGAUAUUCUGGGUCUGUCGCAUGAUGGGUCUGGGAAAGAUAUUGUUUCGGUGGGGGAUGGGCUCGCGGCCUAUCAGCUUGUUGGUGGGGUGAUGGCCUACCAAGGCGGUGACGGGUAGCCGGCCUGAGAGGGUGGACGGUCACACUGGGACUGAGACACGGCCCAGACUCCUACGGGAGGCAGCAGUGGGGAAUAUGGCACAAUGGGCGCAAGCCUGAUGCAGCGACGCCGCGUGAGGGAUGGAGGCCUUCGGGUUGUGAACCUCUUUCGCAAGUGAAGCAGGCCUGCCUCGUUUGUGGGUGGGUUGACGGUAGCUGGAUAAGAAGCGCCGGCUAACUACGUG